rnacentral:rRNA from 1 species
GAUGAACGCUGGCGGCGUGCCUAAUACAUGCAAGUCGAGCGAACGGACGAGAAGCUUGCUUCUCUGAUGUUAGCGGCGGACGGGUGAGUAACACGUGGAUAACCUACCUAUAAGACUGGGAUAACUUCGGGAAACCGGAGCUAAUACCGGAUAAUACUUUGAACCGCAUGGUUCAAAAGUGAAAGACGGUCUUGCUGUCACUUAUAGAUGGAUCCGCGCUGCAUUAGCUAGUUGGUAAGGUAACGGCUUACCAAGGCAACGAUGCAUAGCCGACCUGAGAGGGUGAUCGGCCACACUGGAACUGAGACACGGUCCAGACUCCUACGGGAGGCAGCAGUAGGGAAUCUUCCGCAAUGGGCGAAAGCCUGACGGAGCAACGCCGCGUGAGUGAUGAAGGUCUUCGGAUCGUAAAACUCUGUUAUUAGGGAAGAACAUAUGUGUAAGUAACUGUGCACAUCUUGACGGUACCUAAUCAGAAAGCCACGGCUAACUACGUGCCAGCAGCCGCGGUAAUACGUAGGUGGCAAGCGUUAUCCGGAAUUAUUGGGCGUAAAGCGCGCGUAGGCGGUUUUUUAAGUCUGAUGUGAAAGCCCCACGGCUCACCCGUGGAGGGUCAUUGGAAACUGGAAAACUUGAGUGCAGAAGAGGAAAGUGGAAUUCCAUGUGUAGCGGUGAAAUGCGCAGAGAUAUGGAGGAACACCAGUGGCGAAGGCGACUUUCUGGUCUGUAACUGACGCUGAUGUGCGAAAGCGUGGGGAUCAAACAGGAUUAGAUACCCUGGUAGUCCACGCCGUAAACGAUGAGUGCUAAGUGUUAGGGGGUUUCCGCCCCUUAGUGCUGCAGCUAACGCAUUAAGCACUCCGCCUGGGGAGUACGACCGCAAGGUUGAAACUCAAAGGAAUUGACGGGGACCCGCACAAGCGGUGGAGCAUGUGGUUUAAUUCGAAGCAACGCGAAGAACCUUACCAAAUCUUGACAUCCUUUGACAACUCUAGAGAUAGAGCCUUCCCCUUCGGGGGACAAAGUGACAGGUGGUGCAUGGUUGUCGUCAGCUCGUGUCGUGAGAUGUUGGGUUAAGUCCCGCAACGAGCGCAACCCUUAAGCUUAGUUGCCAUCAUUAAGUUGGGCACUCUAAGUUGACUGCCGGUGACAAACCGGAGGAAGGUGGGGAUGACGUCAAAUCAUCAUGCCCCUUAUGAUUUGGGCUACACACGUGCUACAAUGGACAAUACAAAGGGCAGCGAAACCGCGAGGUCAAGCAAAUCCCAUAAAGUUGUUCUCAGUUCGGAUUGUAGUCUGCAACUCGACUACAUGAAGCUGGAAUCGCUAGUAAUCGUAGAUCAGCAUGCUACGGUGAAUACGUUCCCGGGUCU